GGGGGAACCCUGAUCCAGCCAUGCCGCGUGAGUGAUGAAGGCCUUCGGGUUGUAAAACUCUUUCGGCGGGGACGAUAAUGACGGUACCCGCAGAAGAAGCUCCGGCUAACUUCGUGCCAGCAGCCGCGGUAAUACGAAGGGGGCUAGCGUUGUUCGGAAUUACUGGGCGUAAAGCGCGCGCAGGCGGCCUUUCAAGUCAGGGGUGAAAGCCCGGAGCUCAACUCCGGAAUUGCCUUUGAAACUGUCAGGCUCGAGUACGGGAGAGGUGAGUGGAAUUCCCAGUGUAGAGGUGAAAUUCGUAGAUAUUGGGAAGAACACCGGUGGCGAAGGCGGCUCACUGGCCCGUUUCUGACGCUCAGGCGCGACAGCGUGGGGAUCAAACAGGAUUAGAUACCCUGGUAGUCCACGCCGUAAACUAUGAACGCUAGCCGUUGGCAGGCUUGCCUGUCAGUGGCGCAGCUAACGCAUUAAGCGUUCCGCCUGGGGAGUACGGCCGCAAGGUUGAAACUCAAAAAAAUUGACGGA
rnacentral:rRNA from 1 species